ACGCGUGAAGGGGAUGGAGUCCCCCUCAUAAUCGCCUACGCCCGGCUGAUGACUCCUACCGCGCA
rnacentral:ncRNA from 2 species